UGAUAGGCAAUGACAGGACAUAGUAAUGUUUCAUUUCGUCGUUUCAGAGAGCUGAUGGUUGGUGCGAAUCAGUACAGAAUGAUCCAUGAAAUACACCCUCGAGCUUCUUUUGUGAACCUUUUUAGUAGCAAAAGACGGAUUCUCCGUUAUUUUAAUGAAGACGUGAAAACGAUUCUGGUUUCACAAGUUAGGGUGGUACCGCGACACGUUCGCCCCUGCA
rnacentral:ncRNA from 2 species